ACCUGGUUGAUCCUGCCAGUAGUCAUAUGCUUGUCUCAAAGAUUAAGCCAUGCAUGUCUAAGUAUAAACAACUUUGUACUGUGAAACUGCGAACGGCUCAUUAUAUCAGUUAUAAUUUACUUCAUUGUAUACUCUUACUUGGAUAACCGUAGUAAUUCUAGAGCUAAUACAUGCUAAAAAGCGGGACUGUGGCAACACGGAACCGUUGUGUUUAUUAGAUACAAAAUCAAUGCGUGCGUAAGUACGGUUUUUUGAUGAUUCAUAAUAACUAAACGAAGCGCAGGCCUAGAGCCGGCGCUGAUCGAAACACAUUUCUGCCCUAUCAACUUUCGAUGGUAGUAUAGGGGACUACCAUGGUCGUAACGGGUAACGGGGAAUUAGGGUUCUAUUCCGGAGAGGGAGCCUGAGAAACGGCUACCACUUCCAAGGAAGGCAGCAGGCGCGCAAUUACCCAAUCCUAAUUCUGGGAGGUAGUGACAAGAAAUACCAUUGGUUGACACUACGUGUGAACUAUUUGGAAUGAGAACAAUUUAAACACCUUAACGAGGAACAAAUGGAGGGCAAGUCUGGUGCCAGCAGCCGCGGUAAUUCCAGCUCCAUCAGUGUAUAUUAACGUUGUUGCGGUUAAAAAGCUCGUAGUUGGAUUUCGAAGUGCGAAAGUCAAGACCCAUCAAAUUGGUGUGGUCCGACAGUCGCCUUCUAGCUUAGGGUAAUAGCCUCGCUCCCUUCGCGGGUUGCGAUGUGCCGUUCCCUAUCUUUUACUUUGAUAAAAUCAGAGUGUUCAAAGCCAGGCGUCACUUGCCUUGAAUGUUGCCGCAAGGGAUAAUAGAAUAUGACUUCGGUCUUAUUUUGUUGGUUUCUAAGGCUGAAGUAAUGACUAAUAGGGACAGUCGGGGGCGCUUGUAUUGUGCUGUCAGAGGUGAAAUUCUAGGAUUUGCACAAGACAAACUACUGCGAAAGCAUUCGCCAAGGAUGUUUUCAUCAAUCAAGAACGAAAGUUGGGGGAUCGAAGAUGAUCAGAUACCGUCGUAGUCUCAACCAUAAACUAUGUGGACCAACGAUCCGAGGAAGUUACAUGGAUGACUCUCCGGGCAGUUUGUGAGAAAUCAUAAGUAUUUGCAUUCCGGGGGGAGUAUGGUCGCAAGGCUGAAACUUAAAGGAAUUGACGGAAGGGCACCACCAGGAGUGGAACCUGCGGCUUAAUUUGACUCAACACGGGGAAACUUACCAGGUCCGGACACAGUUAGGAUUGACAGAUUGAGAGCUCUUUCUUGAUUCUGUGGGUGGUGGUGCAUGGCCGUUUUUAGUUGGUGGAGUGAUUUGUCUGGUUAAUUCCGUUAACGAACGAGACCUUAACCUAUUAAUUAGUUGUGCGAUUUUGGACUUCGGUCCUUUCGAAUCGUGGUUAUACUUCUUAGAAGGACUCCUGGCAUCUCUAGCCAGUGGAAGUUUGAGGCUAAAACAGGUCUGUGAUGCCCUUAGAUGUCCUGGGCCGCACGCGCGUUACACUGACGAAUGCAACGAGUGAUUUCCUUCUCCGAUGGGAGUGGGUAAGCUUUUAAAAGCUCGUCGUGAUGGGGAUUGAACCUUGCAAUUAUUGUUCAUGAACGAGGAAUUCCUAGUAAGCGUAGUUCAUCAAACUGCGUUGAUUACGUCCCUGCCCUUUGUACACACCGCCCGUCGCUAGUACCGAUUGAAUGAUCCGGUGAGGAUUCAGGACGGCAGAACUUUAGUUUGCCUGAAAGGGUAAGCGGGUUCAGCCGGAAUCUGUUCAAACCGUGUCAUUUAGAGGAGCUAAAAGUCGUAACAAGGUUUUCGUAGGUGAACCUGCAGAAGGAUA
rnacentral:rRNA from 2 species